ACUCCUACGGGAGGCAGCAGUGGGGAAUAUUGCACAAUGGGCGUAAGCCUGAUGCAGCAACGCCGCGUGAGGGACGACGGCCUUCGGGUUGUAAACCUCUUUUAGUAGGGAAGAAGCGAAAGUGACGGUACCUGCAGAAAAAGCACCGGCUAACUACGUGCCAGCAGCCGCGGUAAUACGUAGGGUGCAAGCGUUAUCCGGAAUUAUUGGGCGUAAAGAGCUCGUAGGCGGUUUGUCGCGUCUGCUGUGAAAACUGGAGGCUCAACCUCCAGCCUGCAGUGGGUACGGGCAGACUAGAGUGCGGUAGGGGAGAUUGGAAUUCCUGGUGUAGCGGUGGAAUGCGCAGAUAUCAGGAGGAACACCGAUGGCGAAGGCAGAUCUCUGGGCCGUAACUGACGCUGAGGAGCGAAAGCAUGGGGAGCGAACAGGAUUAGAUACCCUGGUAGUCCAUGCCGUACACGUUGGGAACUAGAUGUAGGGUCCAUUCCACGGAUUCUGUGUCGCAGCUAACGCAUUAAGUUCCCCGCCUGGGGAGUACGGCCGCAAGGCUAAAACUCAAAGGAAUUGACGGGGGCCCGCACAAGCGGCGGAGCAUGCGGAUUAAUUUGAUGCAACGCGAAGAACCUUACCAAGGCUUGACAUAUACCGGAAAAGUUCAGAAAUGUUCUCCCCGCAAGGUCGGUAUACAGGUGGUGCAUGGUUGUCGUCAGCUCGUGUCGUGAGAUGUUGGGUUAAGUCCCGCAACGAGCGCAACCCUCUUUUUAAGUUGCCACCACGUAAUGGUGGGAACUCAUAGGAGACUGCCGGGGUCAACUCGGA
rnacentral:rRNA from 1 species